AUUGAACGCUGGCGGCAGGCCUAACACAUGCAAGUCGAACGAGUGGCGGAAGGGUGAGUAAUGUCUGGGAAACUGCCUGGUGGAGGGGGAUCACUACUGGAAACGGUAGCUAAUACCGCAUACCCUCGGAUGUGCCCAGAUGGGAUUAGCUAGUAGGAGGGGUAAAGGCUGACCUGGGCGACGAUCCAUAGCUGGUCUGAGAGGAGGACCAGACACACUGGAACGGAGACACGGUCCAGACCCCUACGGGAGGCAGCAGUGGGGAAUAUUGGACAAUGGGCGAAAGCCUGAUGCAGCCAUGCCGCGGGUAUGAAGAAGGCCUUAGGGUUGUAAAGUACUUUCAGCUGGGAGGCGUUACCCGCAGAAGAAGCACCGGCUAACUCCGGGCCAGCAGCCGCGGUAAUUC
rnacentral:rRNA from 1 species